CAAUAGCUCAGUUUCAUUUUGCCCAUCGACAUGAUAUAGGCGUAUACACGCUACGAAACAUCAGAUAUGACGACAAGUACUUAGCCAUCAUAGAGAAUGAGCUGCUCGCGGUAGAGGACGGCGAGUACAACACUUUUUGGGUCACCGAAAUAAACGAUGGCUAUUAUCGCUUUCGAGCUUACAAAAACUUGGAAUGGUACAUCGGUGUCGACGAAACAGGCAAAAUAGUUUCUCCUACAGAUGUGACUCACGAUUGUGAUAUCCGAUCUCAUUUCUACGACGGUUAUAAUCGGGAACAUUCACCUCCUUUUGUUGUUGCAAUUUCAACCGACUGAAUUGACACAUUUCGUGCUGUCGACUGAAUUUUGAAUAUCAGUUGUUGUUUACG